CGACUUCUCAAAUACCACUGAGAGUGGCUCGGUGACUGCAGCGGUGAAUUCCCUCAGGGCUCUGGGACUCGUCUCAUCAGGACCCAAAGACUCCUGGAUGUCAGGUUCUCAGGUGGCUGCGGAGUUGCAGCGCUCCCGAGUGCCGUAACGACUGCAUGGAGAUGCGUGGCUCUUCAUGGGAACAGCAAGGAACCGGAAUCUGCAUUUCCUGGAGCCUCGCUUUGCUGGCUGGUAAUUGUCUGCCCAGCAGGUGGCAGCAGAGCUGCGUUGCUCCUGAGCACUUUAAGGACAGCACGGAGAUGCGCGGCUCUUCAUGGCAGCAGCAGAAACUGGAAUCUGCAUUUCCUGGAAUGCCCCGGAACCUCGCUUUGCUGGCCGGUAAUUGUCUGCCCAGCAGGUGAAGAUGCCUUCGAUGCUUCCAGUUGAUGGCUUCCCCCCUGCCAUGCCAUCGUCUUUCCAGUCCUCCCGCACUCACCGCCUGCUCAGUUCAGUCCAGCCGUUACCUGAAUCCCUGCUCCGUUCCCUUUCCUGAGUGCUGUAAGGACAGCAUGGAGAUGUGCGGCUCUUGAUGACAGCAGCAGGAACCGGAAUCUGCAUUUCCUGGAACGCCCCGGAACCCCACUUUGCUGCCUGGUAAUUGUCUGCCCAGCAGGUAAGGGCAAUGCUCACCCACCAGUGUUUACUCAUUACUUACUGAGACACAAGGUAGGGUUCCCAGAGCUCAUUUCUGCACUUCAUGGUGUCCUGAAUGCUGCCUGUCCUUUUCUUUCCGUG